rnacentral:rRNA from 1 species
UUUAUGGAGAGUUUGAUCCUGGCUCAGGAUGAACGCUGGCGGCGUGCCUAAUUCAUGCAAGUCGAGCGAACGGACGAGAAGCUUGCUUCUCUGAUGUUAGCGGCGGACGGGUGAGUAACACGUGGAUAACCUACCUAUAAGACUGGGAUAACUUCGGGAAACCGGAGCUAAUACCGGAUAAUAUUUUGAACCGCAUGGUUCAAAAGUGAAAGACGGUCUUGCUGUCACUUAUAGAUGGAUCCGCGCUGCAUUAGCUAGUUGGUAAGGUAACGGCUUACCAAGGCAACGAUGCAUAGCCGACCUGAGAGGGUGAUCGGCCACACUGGAACUGAGACACGGUCCAGACUCCUACGGGAGGCAGCAGUAGGGAAUCUUCCGCAAUGGGCGAAAGCCUGACGGAGCAACGCCGCGUGAGUGAUGAAGGUCUUCGGAUCGUAAAACUCUGUUAUUAGGGAAGAACAUAUGUGUAAGUAACUGUGCACAUCUUGACGGUACCUAAUCAGAAAGCCACGGCUAACUACGUGCCAGCAGCCGCGGUAAUACGUAGGUGGCAAGCGUUAUCCGGAAUUAUUGGGCGUAAAGCGCGCGUAGGCGGUUUUUUAAGUCUGAUGUGAAAGCCCACGGCUCAACCGUGGAGGGUCAUUGGAAACUGGAAAACUUGAGUGCAGAAGAGGAAAGUGGAAUUCCAUGUGUAGCGGUGAAAUGCGCAGAGAUAUGGAGGAACACCAGUGGCGAAGGCGACUUUCUGGUCUGUAACUGACGCUGAUGUGCGAAAGCGUGGGGAUCAAACAGGAUUAGAUACCCUGGUAGUCCACGCCGUAAACGAUGAGUGCUAAGUGUUAGGGGGUUUCCGCCCCUUAGUGCUGCAGCUAACGCAUUAAGCACUCCGCCUGGGGAGUACGACCGCAAGGUUGAAACUCAAAGGAAUUGACGGGGACCCGCACAAGCGGUGGAGCAUGUGGUUUAAUUCGAAGCAACGCGAAGAACCUUACCAAAUCUUGACAUCCUUUGACAACUCUAGAGAUAGAGCCUUCCCCUUCGGGGGACAAAGUGACAGGUGGUGCAUGGUUGUCGUCAGCUCGUGUCGUGAGAUGUUGGGUUAAGUCCCGCAACGAGCGCAACCCUUAAGCUUAGUUGCCAUCAUUAAGUUGGGCACUCUAAGAUGACUGCCGGUGACAAACCGGAGGAAGGUGGGGAUGACGUCAAAUCAUCAUGCCCCUUAUGAUUUGGGCUACACACGUGCUACAAUGGACAAUACAAAGGGCAGCGAAACCGCGAGGUCAAGCAAAUCCCAUAAAGUUGUUCUCAGUUCGGAUUGUAGUCUGCAACUCGACUACAUGAAGCUGGAAUCGCUAGUAAUCGUAGAUCAGCAUGCUACGGUGAAUACGUUCCCGGGUCUUGUACACACCGCCCGUCACACCACGAGAGUUUGUAACACCCGAAGCCGGUGGAGUAACCUUUUAGGAGCUAGCCGUCGAAGGUGGGACAAAUGAUUGGGGUGAAGUCGUAACAAGGUAGCCGUAUCGGAAGGUGCGGCUGGAUCACCUCCUUUCU